rnacentral:rRNA from 1 species
UACGAAGGGGGCUAGCGUUGCUCGGAUUUACUGGGCGUAAAGGGCGCGUAGGCGGAUAACCAAGUUGGGGGUGAAAUCCCGGGGCUUAACCUCGGAACUGCCUCCAAAACUGGUUGUCUUGAGUUUGGGAGAGGUGUGUGGAACUCCGAGUGUAGAGGUGAAAUUCGUAGAUAUUCGGAAGAACACCAGUGGCGAAGGCGACACACUGGCCCAAUACUGACGCUGAGGCGCGAAAGCGUGGGGAGCAAACAGG